UUCUCCAACUUGAAUCUUUAGCUCUACGUGCACGGUCCGAGUCUUGAAGUCCAAAGGAUAGAAAGCACCCAAAUCUCUCAGCUGGGUCCUCCGAGCAUGGAGAACGGAUUGCUGCACUUAAGCCCGGCUUGCAAGGUCAGCAAAACAGUUCUCACCUCUCCCUGCUGCUGCUUACCUUCCUGGCUCCUUAUCAAGCAGGGAAUCAGAAAGGGACUUUCCAGAGCUAUAAACAUAUGAGCUGAAGAGAUGGAAUGAACCCUUAUGCAAAUGAGUCUUGAUUCCCUUCCCUUUAUAAAGAUAAAAUGUUUUUGAGAGAGCGACGGUUCCUCCAGAAUGUGGGUGUCCGAAGUUAUUGCCUUGGACUGGCCGGAUCUCUCUCUGUGCUGUCUGUCUGUCUGUCUGCCUUUCUUUCUGCUUGUCUGUCUUUCCAUUGUAGAGAACAAAGCGGAGUGAUGUAAAAUAGAAAAUGAGAAAAGCAAACCUUUGGUGAUUGAAGAGGAGGAAGGAAAAUGAAAGAGAAAAAGCUGAAGAGUGGGAAAAAAGAUAAAAUAAAAUGAAUUUUGGGGAUUCCACUGUGAGUAAGAGCUGAAAAAAAGUAAGAUGAUUUAUUACAUGUUUAUCUUCUGCCUGAGAGCCAGUGCACCUUGUAUAUGUGAGAGGUAAACUGCACAUUAAAGAUUGAAUCAAAACGCCAAAUUCUUCCUCAAUUCCUCCAGCUUUAAAUGAGCGUAAUUCUGUCAGCUUCGAUGGAUUUACAUUUUGUAAACAGCAGCAGAAUCAAGAUCAAGUCCUUUAAGUCAUUUUGAAUUAUAUUUAUGCUGAAGUUAUGAGAAAUUUGGAAUGACUUUUAAAUAACGUUUUGUCAGGGAAGCUGCAUAUUUUCUAAUGAUUCUCUUCACUAGGCAGGAAUUUUGCUAUUGUCACUGCAGUGCUGUUAUGACUUUAUUCUGAAUCCAGUGGCAGUACAGAAAGGUGAUGUUAUUGUUAUGUGCAUCCAUAUUUUCCUUGCAUUAUGAUUUAUGUAUAACCAUUUUUAUCUUAAAUGUGUAUUUUAACAACUGUUUGAACAGGGAGAUGGCAUGAGCUAAUAGAUGUAAGUAUUUUUUUUUCUCCAUCAGAUGCCACUGAUUUUGAAAGUGCAGUGUUUGACUGCAGCAGGAGGGUUUAGCUGGCUACGCUUUGCUUUCUUUCACAUUGAUCCUUUACUCUUUUGCAGAUGGUUUAUUUAGGCAUCCCAAAAUUUGUUUUAUGGUGUGGAAGAAGAGGGACAGAGGAAACACCGCAGGUUUUCUUGGUGAAGUUUCCAAGUUUUUGUAAGACGUGCAGAGAUCAGCUCGUGGAGCCUGAAGGAUAAGGCAGCUCCCAUCCCUCCUUUUUUCACUAAUUAGACAGUUACUCUCUCUCUUUUUUUUUUUUUUUUCUCAAUAGUUUGUUUGCUGAAAAAUGUUGUUUCGAAUGAGCUGAAAUUAUUUACAGAGAUGAACGGAGCGGUGCAAAUAGUAUUGGGUAAACCAUCAAAAAAAAAAAAGAAAAAAUAUUUUGACAUUUUCAGAAUGAAAUGCUAAUUCUUUCUUUGAAAGUGCUAUUUUCAUGUUCAUAUUGUUCUUGCAGACUAUUCUUUCGCAGCAAUAAUCACAGCAAAAAAGGAACAAAGUAUUUUGUUUUAGGCCAAGAAAUACCCUCUAAUGUAGCUAAAAUUGUUUAUUUAUUUAUUGUUCAGAAAAUAACAAAAAUCAGUCCAGAUUCAGCCAGAGGGAAUUUUUCUUCUUCUAUCUUUUUUUUUUGGUUAGUGGAGGAAAACAUGGCUAAUUGCUGUAGCCAGAAGUCCAUACCAUUAUCAGGACCAGCUAUAUUUCAGCUGUAUUUCAGAUUAAUCUGGCAGAAUAUUGAGAUUUCAUUUUCUGUGGGAAAUGAUGAUUAAAAAGCAAAUUAUUUUGAUGAAAAAAAUGUACCCUUUUGUGUGCUUUUAUUGGUCAGAUUAAAUAUAUAAUCCACCCUUUCCCCAUAAUUAGAAAAAAAAAAUAAGGAGAAAAGUCAGCUUUCAUGAUUGAAAUAGAUUUUCUGGAAGACUUUUUACCCAAUUCCCUAAUGCCAUGAAAGGCUGCGGCUACUCUCUCUUCUGCAGUGUUUCAGACACCCGUGCUCCAUCACAGCUUCCACUGGGGCCGGGUGCUUCCCAGAGCUCGGAGCAGCUUUGUGUUGGGCAGCAGAGCCCGGAGCUCCUGGAGCCGUGGAAUGAGGCUGCGGUGGGGACAGCAAUUUCAGAUGUGGUGGUGACCGCCUGUGGUCUCCAUGGGGGGAUUCAGUAAGGAGAAGUCUGGAAAACACAGAGCUGCUGAAAACUAUUUCAAAGCCUGGAUUCUUUAGCACAUACUGGAUAGCCAAGUCCCCACCGGCAACUUGAGCGAUGUCAUGUUAAAAGUCUGUGCAGAAAUCAAAGAACGUCUUUACUUUUCAUUGUAAUCGUUUGUAGCAGUCAACACACUUGAUAAAAUGUUCGAGAGACAGUCGUGUUGAAUCUGAAUGGCACCUAGACCUACUUUCUAUAAAGUCAGCCCUGGUGAGCUCAAGGGAGCCAGAUCUAACACCAUGGUGAGCACAUCCCGGCGGAGGCAGGUUGGCUCCCCGCGGGCUGUCUGCAUCAGCGCUUCUCAGCCUUCUCUAAUGGGGCCUUUUUGGAAAAGCCACGGCUGGACCGUUUCCCACGCACAACAAGGAACCGUCUGCACCUGCAGGCGCUCACUGGCAGCAUCCAGAGAGCGGCUCCCGGCUCCGUCUGCCAGCACUGGUGCCUCUCUGCCAAACGGAGCAGAGACGUGUGCUUUGUAGCUACUAAACCAGCUCGUGCACGGAGCAGGUUCUGGCGUCUGACAGCAAGCAGUGGUCUGCAGCCCACGGGCUGUGUAACACCCACCCAGCUCCCAGCGCUGUCACGCCUGCACCUGGUCAUGAGCCAGCGCUCUCGGGCUGCUGCGUUCACUGCUGUGUUCCUGUCUGUGCACAACCAUGGCCAGUUUCCACAGUACUUGAGUUGUUUCAUUAUUCUAAUUUUAAUACUAGUUGAUUUCAGUGAAUUAAUAUUGAAAUGGGCUAUGUACGAACUGAAAGUGUGCUUGCUCUUCACAGCUUAUUUUCAGUAGCUACAGUACAGUUACAAUAGAAAUACAGGCAUCUUUAUGGAAUCAGAGAAUCAUUUGAGUUUGAAGGGAUAUUUAAAGGCCUUUGAGUCCAACUCCUCUUUCUAUAUUUCAACCCCAACUUUUAUAUUUCAAGUAUUUAGAUACUGAACCUGUCUGAAGAAAAAAUACCUCUGGCUUCUAAUGGGUUCUAACAUUACAAUUGUUUAUUAUAAUAGAUAAUUGAGUAAUGAUACCCUAAUAUAAAGAAGAAUAAAAUCCUUGCUAAGUGAUCAUGGCAUUCCUUUUUUAAAUAAUGCAAUAAUUACAAAACAUUUUGAUUAAUCAAAAGUAUUAAUUAAUGUUUGCCUGUUUUUCAGCUACUCAUGCAGAGCCUAAUCAUUUUGGGUUAGUGAUGCAGAGCAUAGCAGUUGCACAGGGGCAAAGACUUGCAAGCACCUGUGUCAUUCCCACAGGCGGAACGUUGCCAGUUCUUUUGAAUUCUUAAAAAUGUGGAAAUUGGAAGGGAGCAGGAAAUGACCAUCUACUCUCUCCUCUUUGCUUUUCCCGCGUCUCCCUGUGCUGUUGGAUGUUUAGAUCGUGUCUGACAUGUACGGCCGGACCAGUCAUUUCUGGCGCUCGGUUCCACUACGUGUAUCAGGAAUUGGUUCGGGUGAGCAGUCCAUAGUGCCACGCGCUGGAAGACAGCACGUGCCUCGUGCCCAGCAUCUGCAACGUGUGCCUGGUUGGAUACCUGAGCGGAGGGAGAAAGCACUGCUGGAUUUGGGACCGGCUCCAUACGUGAAGAGCUCUUUUUUUUUUUUGUUCGGUGGAGGAGGACUACGAAAGUCAACGUGUUCUGCCUGGGCUGAAGGCAUCGUGGGCUUGAUGCAUUUGAAGGGUUCAGGAGGAGGAAUCCCUGCGGGCAGUUCCUUGUCUGACAUUGCUGACAGUCUUCAUGGAUGUGCACCUGGAGGAAAGCCAGGCACCCGGAGAGAGAGCAGAGGAUGAGAUAGUGCCGCGCGUCAGAACGGCCUUGAAACGAAUGUCGUGUAUCCUCAGCUUUGAGAACUGAAUUCCAUGGGUUGUAAUUGAAUCCUUUGUCAGACCCAUGGGGCUCAGUUCUUCAGCUUGGAUAUUUCUGUCUUCACAUACACAGGAGAUCAAAGAAGCACUUGAUCAUGCGCUGACUCUUCCGGAUGGUGAAAGCAGCAAAUAGGAAAGAGAAAGAAUAACUCAUGUGAAUCAUUCUGACAGGGAGGUUUCACUGCAAAGCCCAGGCUCUCUCAUGUCGAGUAGCUGUACAGUGAUUGAACCUCUCCUUGGCUGGUAGUCUGUCUCCGCAUUGCUGCUUGCUGUUUAAUUCAACUCCCCUCUCAGUUUCAUUGAAGUUACAUAUAAAGUCCUGAGAUGAUGUUGACUGAAUCAUGCUUCCCAAAAAUUGUGUGGUGCUGCUGGAUGUGGCUCUGCUGUGCUGCACGGGACCAGCAGCACCCUGGCCCUACUGGUCUGCCCACUGCUGGUCUGCUGCAGCCUCCCGUCUGAGAUCACUGCUGUAUAGCUAUUGUUUCCUCUUUUUUGUCCUAUGACAAAUACCCAUUUCCAGAAAAGUCAUUAAAAAAAAUCUCAGCUGUGUCUAAAGAAUACGCAUUUCCACCCGCCACCAGCACCUUUGCAUAAACAAAUGUUCUUUCCUGAGGAUGGCGUGUGCUCCCACAGUGUUUGGGUUAGGAGCUUCGGCUGCAAUCAGUGAUGGCAAAGCGUGUAUACACUACUGGAAGGCUCAGCAGUGCCAGCCCCUCUUGGAGGUGGACUCAUUCAAGUUGUGGGCUGAUAAAGUUUGUGUUUCUUCCUCGGAAGAUCUGUGUUAAAGUUUAUUUUCUUUCAGGCAUCAGGAAAAUACAAUUUAUCGUCUUCAAACAUGUAAAGAGGUAUAAUUACCAACGAGAUUUCUACUUCAUUCCUGCAAUAAUAACCCUUCUUAAAUUACAUUUUUCAAACUCAGUAAAAUGGAUCAGUCACUGAUCUCAUCCCUGUGGUGCAAUGCUGUUAAAAGCAUAGGAAUAUUAAAAUCCCACAGGUGCAGGAGGAGCGUGUUCAGCUAAGUAGUUUAAAGCUGCCGUGUGCCUUUUAUUCUGAAAAUGUAUUUACACUAAAAAUAAUCAGAUGUAAUCACUGUUGCCUGUGGAUACAGAUGUACCUUUGUACCGAUGUGCUUUUCAUAUAAAUUUUAUUCUAGGGUUUGAAGAGUUUCUUUGUGGCUGUCUGAAGCAUAUCAUGCUCCCCAGUUGUGAGAUGAUGGUUCUUGGAAGGACUCACCAGUCCCACCAGCUCCUGCUGGAAGAUAUCCAUUAAACAAGAAGAGGGAGAAACACACGCAAAUGAAAGGGAAAUUCUGAAGUUUCAUUUCUGCUAUACUCCCUGUCAAGAAGAGGGAAUGAAAUCAGAGGUCAGAGUUAGCAAAACCUGCAAAAGCAGAGAGUGAGGCAGCAGCUGCACAGAACGCCCGAGGCAGGCAGCCGCCGGCAGGGCUGCAACAGCCACCUCCAGGGCAAAGCCCAGCCUGCCUGCACUGAUGCAGCACAGGGGAUGUGUGUGUGCGAUGGCAGCCUCACAAGGCCACUGAUGAAAGCAAGAUUGCCUUCGGUACAGCAGUUUUGCCCUCCUAUCUCUUCGAAGGUGGUCCUUAAAGCAUGGUGUUAGUAAUGCUGGUUUUGCUCAGAAAUCUACCGUAAGUUGUGAACUAACAACACUGCCUGUGUCUAGCUGGAAGUAUUGGAAUUUCUAGUCAGCUCUUAAAUCCAACUCUCCAUGAAUACCGGGCUUGGAUGUAGGAAGAGAGUUCCACUGCCCAUGUGCAAUGAAGAAUGAGCUGAUAUUUUGUCCUGAGCUAGAAGAUGUUCCGAUCAUACUUGUUCAUGUGACAAACAGGCAAGGAACGGCUGUUCCCAGAGCUGGUCCUUCUUGAGCCUGUUUCCUCUCAGAGCUCUCUGGGCGGCUUCUGUGCUCUUCAGUUGCUGCUGGGUGGGGGAGAGCAGACUGCAGCACGUGGGCACAGAGCUGUACUGGGUGCAGGAGCGAGCCUGCCCCCAGCCCUCAGUGCUGGUCAUUCAGUGUGCUCUUCCUUUGCUGCGGGCUCCUGCAGUUAUUUUGAUCCUUGCUUGCCCUGGAUGACAAGGCAUCCUCUUUCUGGAUACUCCUGGGAUCUUUUCUUUAAACCAGACAGCUAAGCUUUCAAGCCGUGAGCUGACAGCACUCCCGCAGAAUUAAAAUUAUUUUUAUCACGUGGUUUCAAACCAAUGUGCCUUCCGCCUGCUGACCUGCGUGGCCAUGCAGUGCACAUGCAGACCCCUCUGCAGCAUGAGCAGGGCAGUGCUCAGGCACCUCAGCGUGCCCAGGACCAGUGCUGCCCAUCUUCUGCAGUGCUGCAGCACACAGCAGUGCCGAGGGCACCAGUGAUUCCCAGUGUGUCCCUGGGUGUGCGGUGUGCUGUGUGUGCUGGUUGAUAUGAUUCCCAAAUUCUAUCAGCUUCUCCUGUGCCUCGGCUUAUGAAACUGAUCUCGUUAAUCUAGGCCUCCUCAUGUUUAAUUUCAGAGAGAAAUGUUGAUUUGUCAUUGUAUUUUUUUUUUCUCUUUACAGAGUCAUUCAGGAGAAUUCAGCUGAAUUCGUUGCUGCUGUAGAUUUGAAACUUGACUGUGGGCCAAGUAAAGCAUUUGCUAGAAAAUAUUACCCCUCCCUCCAUCUUUUUCUAGCUGAUUUACGCCACUUUCUGGUGCUUUCACAGAUCUCGGCCUGCCUAUUUUGUUCAGGAUAAAGCAAUGGGCUGAAUCCUCCCGGCACAGCCAUGGGAGAGCAGCACAACCACCCACAUUUUACAGAUAAAUAAACGGAGUCCUGACCCUUAGAAUGGGACAACGACCCUGAAUUCUGUUGCAUGACUGCUGUAUUUCAGUUAUGGCUUUCUGCUUUUUAUUCCCAACAAAUAAAUGACAUCAAGCACAUCCUUCGUCUGCUGGCAGGACCAUGCCCCAGCGUCCCACUGAGCCUCUCCUCCCUGGGCUGGGGUUCUGUCCCCACUUGCUGAUCAACCACUGCUCCCUUCUGCUGCCUCCCACCCCACGAAACCUCCGCCUUUCUUCUCGAUACAGUGCGUGCCUUGCCUGGUGAAUGCUGAUAGGAGAGGAGUGAGUGCCGGCUGCAGACUGGUGUUUCCACUCUGCAAAUGAUCUCAGGCCCUUUCGAAAGAGUGACUGCACAUUGCAUGCUGCUCAGGAGAAGGCUCUGUGCUUGCUACCCUUUGGUACCCCAAGACAAGCUAGCUGCUGCCAAGCGCGGCUCAUCUUUUUUUUGGCUAGCAGCCCUUUUUGCUUCCAGGAAAAUGAUGAGUUUAUGUCAGGUUCAGUAAUCCUGAUGUCUGCACAGCUGAGAGAAAUAGCGCUUUAAUGUGUGCAUGACUGUGCAUGUGUAUAUAGGGAAACUACAGCUUUGACAAGCCUCUCGUCUGCCUUGGGAAAGAAACAGCAGGGCUUGAAAGCCAUGGAGUCGCAAUACGCUGGCUAAGGUCAGCAGCUUUCAGUGACUCACAAUCUGUUUUCCUGGCAGCCCCACCAUACAGCAGGUUGAGCGUUUUUUAUCUUC